AACUUAUCGUUGUUAUUAUUUUGUAUCGUGUGAUGUGUGAUGUGUAUAUUUGAGCGACGCUAACAAUCGGCCGAGCUAACACGUAAUAAUAUAUAUAAAAUCGUUCGAGAAGCCGCAUAAUAAACGCCACUUUUGCCGUAACAAUGGUGCAUAGGAAAUUUGAAAGUGGCUCCCGACAAUCAAACGUGUCACAAUGAAUCUCAGUCCAAGUCGAUAGAUCAAUCCACGAAAGUUCUAUUGUGCAAGGUGAACUAACAACACCAACAGUAAUCGUGUUCGAUAAUCAAUUCUAUCAUUUCUAUCGUCGGCUACCAUUAAGUGAACGCUAACGUGUCGUGCACCAAAGUAUAAAAAAAGUAUCAAUACUCCAGAUUUAGAAGAUCAGUUUAAUAUGGUAAUAAGAAGAAACAUAACAUUUGGAGAAGUCAUUUAAGAUUUGUAUUAUCUCUUAACUAAAGGUGGAAGAUAAGGUUUUCACGAUUUUCUUGGAGCAUCAGAGACUAAUUAGCCACGACACUCCCGAUAAUACCAUACCAAGAAGUACCUAGAUGAAGAAUGAAGAACUGAAGAAGUCAUAUUAUAUUGCUCAAUGAAUUAUCGAGAUUAUAUUUUAAAGAAAAUAAUUAUGUGGUGAUUAUAUCUAAAUAUGUGUAGUGUGUACAGUAUGUACAAUAAAAUGAGGACAAAGUGGAACCUUAAGUAGGUAACAAAAUGAAACUUAGGGGUCCAUUUUGUUCUUUGUUUUACUGUACCUAUCCUACAAAAUGUACAUUGUGUGAAGCGUGACAAAUAAACCAAGCCUCAAACCUACAUCAAUGAAAUUUUUAAAUUAAUUUUACUUUUAAAGGCCAUACGCGAUUAAACUAGUAUUUAUUAUUUGAUUAUUUUUUGUCGUUUCAGUGCUUGUUGGUAGUAAUACAUAUUUAUUCGAAUAAUUAUCUAGAUAAAAUUUUGCACAACUCUGGUUGUACUGCAAGAGUCAACCAUAUUAUUACUCUAUAAAUUAUUAUUUAUUUAUAUUUUAUUGUAAACUAUUGCAACUGAUUGUAUAAACAUCUAAAUUAUAUACAGUCCACUACACAUUUGAAUUUGUUGUAUUUUCACCAUAGGGUAAAGCAAUUUAUUAAUUAUACUUAUAAACCUAAACCUACAACCAGUAUGCAGUAUUAAAUUAUUUGUUUAUUGUUCAUU